rnacentral:rRNA from 1 species
GACGAACGCUGGCGGCGUGCUUAACACAUGCAAGUCGAACGAUGAAGCCGGAGCUUGCUCUGGUGAAUUAGUGGCGAACGGGUGAGUAACACGUGAGUAACCUGCCCUUGACUCUGGGAUAACUGCUAGAAAUGGUAGCUAAUACCGGAUACGACCCUCGGAGGCAUCUCCAGGGGGUGGAAAGAAUUUCGGUCAAGGAUGGACUCGCGGCCUAUCAGCUAGUUGGUGAGGUAACGGCUCACCAAGGCGACGACGGGUAGCCGGCCUGAGAGGGUGACCGGCCACACUGGGACUGAGACACGGCCCAGACUCCUACGGGAGGCAGCAGUGGGGAAUAUUGCACAAUGGGCGCAAGCCUGAUGCAGCAACGCCGCGUGAGGGAUGACGGCCUUCGGGUUGUAAACCUCUUUUAGCAGGGAAGAAGCGAAAGUGACGGUACCUGCAGAAAAAGCACCGGCUAACUACGUGCCAGCAGCCGCAGUAA